rnacentral:rRNA from 1 species
UACGGGGGGGGCAAGCGUUGUUCGGAAUCACUGGGCGUAAAGGGUGCGUAGGCGGGUCUUUUAAGUCAGGGGUGAAAAUCCUGGAGCUCAACUCCAGAACUGCCUUCGAUACUGAGGAUCUCGAGUCCGGGAGAGGUGAGUGGAACUGGCGAGUGUAGAGGUGAAAUUCGUAGAUAUUCGCAAGAACACCAGUGGCGAAGGCGGCUCACUGGCCCGGUACUGACGCUGAGGUGCGAAAGCGUGGGGGAGCAAACAGGG